GACGAACGCUGGCGGCGUGCCUAAUACAUGCAAGUCGAGCGGACAGAAGGGAGCUUGCUCCCGGAAGUUAGCGGCGGACGGGUGAGUAACACGUGGGCAACCUACCCUGUAGAUCGGGAUAACAUCGAGAAAUCGGUGCUAAUACCGGAUAAUCAUUUGAAGUGCAUGCUUCGAAUGUAAAAGAUGGCUCCGGCUAUCACUACGGGAUGGGCCCGCGGCGCAUUAGCUAGUUGGUAAGGUAAUGGCUUACCAAGGCAACGAUGCGUGGCCGACAUGAGAGGUGGAUCGGCCACAAUGGGACUGAGACACGGCCCAGACUCCUACGGGAGGCAGCAGUAGGGAAUCUUCCGCAAUGGACGAAAGUCUGACGGAGCAACGCCGCGUGAGUGAUGAAGGUUUUCGGAUCGUAAAGCUCUGUUGUUAGGGAAGAACAAGUGCCGUUUGAAUAAGGCGGCACCUUGACGGUACCUAACCAGAAAGCCACGGCUAACUACGUGCCAGCCGCCGCCGUAAUAC
rnacentral:rRNA from 1 species